UCAGGCCUAACACAUGCAAGUCGAGCGAUGAAGCACCUUCGGGUGUGGAUUAGCGGCGAACGGGUGAGGAACACGUGAGUAAUCUGCCUUCCACUCUGGGAUAACUCCGGGAAACCGGGGCUAAUACCGGAUACUUUCAACUGGCGGCAUCGCCGGUUGAAGAAAGUUUUUCGGUGGAAGAUGACCUCGCGGCCUAUCAGCUUGUUGGUGAGGUAAUGGCUCACCAAGGCGACAACGGGUAGCCGGCCUGAGAGGGCGACCGGCCACACUGGGACUGAGACACGGCCCAGACUCCUACGGGAGGCAGAAGUGGGGAAUAUUGGGCAAUGGAGGAAACUCUGACCCAGCGACGCCGCGUGAGGGAUGAAGGCCUUCGGGUUGUAAACCUCUUUCAGCAGGGAAUAAGCGAAAGGAA
rnacentral:rRNA from 1 species